rnacentral:rRNA from 1 species
GUGGGGGAUAUUGCACAAUGGGGGGAACCCUGAUGCAGCGACGCCGCGUGAAGGAAGGAGUGCCUCGGCAUGUAAACUUCUAUCAGCGGGGAAGAAGAUGACGGUACCCGACCAAGAAGCCCCGGCUAACUACGUGCCAGCAGCCGCGGUAAUACGUAGGGGGCAAGCGUUAUCCGGAUUUACUGGGUGUAAAGGGAGCGUAGACGGCGCGCCAAGUCCGAUGUGAAAUCCCGGGGCUCAACCGCGGGGCUGCAUUGGAAACUGGUGUGCUGGAGUGCUGGAGGGGUAAGCGGAAUUCCUGGUGUAGCGGUGAAAUGCGUAGAUAUCAGGAGGAACACCGGUGGCGAAGGCGGCUUACUGGACAGCAACUGACGUUGAGGCUCGAAGGCGUGGGGAGCAAACAGGAUUAGAUACCCGAGUAGUCC